GRCUCUCAACAACGGAUAUCUUGGCUCCCGUAACGAUGAAGAACGCAGCGAAAUGCGAUACGUAGUGUGAAUUGCAGAAUUCCGUGAACCAUCGAAUCUUUGAACGCAAAUUGCGCUCGAGGCUUCGGCCAAGAGCAUGUCUGCCUCAGCGUC
rnacentral:rRNA from 1 species